AAUGAUUUUGUCGUUUGGCAUAUGUGGCUGGUAUAGCUGAUGAAUAGUGAAAUGGCUGAGCAAGGGAAUUUAAAGACCCUGCUACCAAGAAAUCGUAAUUGCACCCUAUAGGUAUGAUUUGAUUGUUUCUAAUGUUAUCUAUCUUCCAAACUCGAUUACAAAAAAAAUCAGCCACAAGCUGUCUUCUCAUGUCAUUUGUGUGUAUUUGCUAAGGCUAAACUUUGAAUGGAAAGAAAGAAAAUCACCCAAGAAGAGAGAGAAGGGAAAUCGCGGUUGCGUUCAUCGCGCUCUCAAAUAUUGAUUGUGAAGCGCAUUUCACUCUAGCCCGAAUUGAGAAUAAAUCAAAAAAGAAAGAUAUGGUGAAGGUCAUCUUGUCUCUCAAUCCAAAUGCACAUCUGACUAAUGAUAUUGAUAAGCUCCACUUUAUUAUGCUAGAUGAACAUGGCUGCUGACAUACAAAUUAUCUAUUUUAUCAGCUGUAGUUAGAUGAAUAUGGGGAAGAAAACGAAUAUGGUCUUGAAAUGCAUUCAAAUUGAACAAAGAAGCUUAUGGAAGUAGAAAUUUAUCAAUGUUUUCUGUAUUUUUCUAAUAUUCCAGAUUUCGUGUAGGUUUUAGAACUUUCUAUAUUUAAUUUGCAAACCAAUGUUGAUUCGAGUAAUAGGAAGUAGGGCAAUGGAAAAACCUGCAAAGGAGGCAAAACACUCGCCAAAAGUGACUCCAACUUCCCAGGGGCAAUCCUCAAGUAAUCCCAUGGAGGUUGUCCUAUAUUACACAGGGUUUUCAGGUACCUUUGAAACACUACAAUAGCAAUAUAGGAAAGGAUCUAAUACAUCAAUUUAGAAGAUAUCUUGAUUACAGAAAACCUCAACUAUAAUAUCUGAAGAUAUGGUUGGCAUGGAUAUGCAAUGAUAGAUUUUGACAUGACUACCACCGAUUCCUAUUUCAUAAUGGAAAGAUCUAGAAAGUCCAUGAACUUGAUGGAUCAUUGGGUGGAGAUGUUACAACUGGCAGGGGUAAAAUAGUCCAACAACAUCCAAAAAAACAAUUGGAGUGGUAGAGAUACUAGAACUGGAUGCGAAAUUUUUAUUUGUUCGUGCUUCUACACUUUCAGUUCUUGAUGAAUAGUUAUCAAAGGAUACAAAGCUAUAUUGCAUAUUCACUCUGUUGUUGAGGAAUGUGACAUUAUUGUGUUCAUGCAUCAAGUUGAUCCUAAAACUAGGAAACAAAUAACGAAGGUGCUUUUUUGUCAAGAAUGGUGGUGUUAUCAUUUGUCAUGUUCAGCUUAGUUUUCAUAUUUGUUAAAAGGACCAUUUUUCCCUUUUAACAUUUCAAUUUUAUAUUUUGUUACA